CGAACGGGUGCGUAACACGUGAACAACCUGCCCUCGUGUGGGGGAUAGCCAUGCUAACGCGUGGGUAAUACCGCAUACGUUCCCGAGGGGGAGUCCCCUGGGGAAGAAAGCUCAGGCGCACGGGGAGGGGUUCGCGGCCUAUCAGCUAGUUGGUGCGGUAACGGCGCACCAAGGCGACGACGGGUAGCUGGUCUGAGAGGAUGGCCAGCCACAUUGGGACUGAGAUACGGCCCAG
rnacentral:rRNA from 1 species